GACUGCUAUACCGCAUACGACAUUUUCUGGCAUCAGAGGAUGUUAAAAGGUCCGUUUGGAUCACUAAUGGAUGAGGGUGCGGCGUAUUAGCUAGUUGGUGGGGUAAUGGCCUACCAAGGCAAUGAUACGUAGCCGAACUGAGAGGUUGAUCGGCCACAUCGGGACUGAGACACGGCCCGAACUCCUACGGGAGGCAGCAGUAGGGAAUUUUUCACAAUGGGCGAAAGCCUGAUGGAGCAAUGCCGCGUGACUGAAGACGGUCUUCGGAUUGUAAAGGUCUGUUGUAAGGGAAGAACAGUAAGUAUAGGAAAUGAUACUUAUUUGACGGUACCUUACCAGAAAGCCACGGCUAACUAUGUGCCAGCAGCCGCGGUAAUACAUAGGUGGCAAGCGUUAUCCGGAUUUAUUGGGCGUAAAGCGUGCGCAGACGGUUUAGCAAGUUUGGGGUUAAAACCUGGAGCUCAACUCCAGGUCGCCUUGAAAACUGUUAGGCUAGAGUGUAGGAGAGGUUGAUGGAAUUCCAUGUGUAGCGGUGAAAUGCGUAGAUAUAUGGAGGAACACCAGUGGCGAAGGCGAUCAACCGGCCUAUUACUGACGUUUAGGCACGAAAGCGUGGGGAGCAAAUAGGAUUAGAUACCCUAGUAGUCCACGCCGUAAACGAUGAGUACUAAGUGUCGGACUAAGUCGGUGCUGCAG
rnacentral:rRNA from 1 species